rnacentral:rRNA from 1 species
AUUGAACGCUGGCGGCAGGCUUAACACAUGCAAGUCGAGCGAGCGGCGGACGGGUGAGUAAUGUCUGGGAAACUGCCUGAUGGAGGGGGAUAACUACUGGAAACGGUAGCUAAUACCGCAUACCAUCAGAUGUGCCCAGAUGGGAUUAGCUAGUAGGUGGGGUAAUGGCUCACCUAGGCGACGAUCCCUAGCUGGUCUGAGAGGAUGACGGGUCACACUGGAACUGAGACACGGUCCAGACUCCGACGGGGGGCAGCAGUGGGGAAUAUUGGACAAUGGGGGCAAGCCUGAUGGAGCCAUGCCGCGUGUGUGAAGAAGGCCUUGAGGUUGUAAAGCACUUUCAGCGGGGAGGCGUUACGCGCAGAAGAAGCACCGGCGAACUCCGUGCCAGCAGCCGCGGUAAUUC